UCUCCGUUGGUGACCAGCGGAGGGAUCAUUACCGAGUUUACAACUCCCAAACCCAAUGUGAACGUUACCAAACUGUUGCCUCGGCGGGGUCACGCCCCGGGUGCGUCGCAGCCCCGGAACCAGGCGCCCGCCGGAGGAACCAACCAAACUCUUUCUGUAGUCCCCUCGCGGACGUAUUUCUUUACAGCUCUGAGCAAAAAUUCAAAAUGAAUCAAAACUUUCAACAACGGAUCUCUUGGUUCUGGCAUCGAUGAAGAACGCAGCGAAAUGCGAUAAGUAAUGUGAAUUGCAGAAUUCAGUGAAUCAUCGAAUCUUUGAACGCACAUUGCGCCCGCCAGUAUUCUGGCGGGCAUGCCUGUCCGAGCGUCAUUUCAACCCUCGAACCCCUCCGGGGGAUCGGCGUUGGGGAUCGGGACCCCUCACACGGGUGCCGGCCCCUAAAUACAGUGGCGGUCUCGCCGCAGCCUCUCCUGCGCAGUAGUUUGCACAACUCGCACCGGGAGCGCGGCGCGUCCACGUCCGUAAAACACCCAACUUUCUGAAAUGUUGACCUCGGAUCAGGUAGGAAUACCCGCUGAACUUAAGCAUAUCAAUAA
rnacentral:rRNA from 1 species